rnacentral:rRNA from 1 species
UACGGAGGAUGCAAGCGUUAUCCGGAUUCAUUGGGUUUAAAGGGUGCGUAGGCGGGAAAAUAAGUCAGUGGUGAAAGCCUACAGCUUAACUGUAGAAUUGCCAUUGAUACUGUUAUUCUUGAGUACAAAUGAAGUGGGUGGAAUGUGUGGUGUAGCGGUGAAAUGCUUAGAUAUCACACAGAACGCCAAUUGCGAAGGCAGCUCACUAAGCUGUACUGACGCUGAGGCACGAGAGCGUGGGGAUC